rnacentral:rRNA from 1 species
AGAGUUUGAUCCUGGCUCAGGACGAACGCUGGCGGCGUGCUUAACACAUGCAAGUCGUGCGAGAAAUCAGGUGUCCGCAAGGACACCCGGUGGAAAGCGGCAAACGGGUGAGUAACACGUGGGUAAUAUGCCUAUCAGUGAAGGAUAGCUUCGGGAAACUGGGGGUAAUACUUCAUACAAUUAUUCGUAGUAUCUAUAAAUAAUGAAAGGAUUCGUUCUGCUGAUAGAUUAGCCUGCGGCUCAUUAGCUUGUUGGUAGGGUAAUGGCCUACCAAGGCAAAGAUGAGUAGCCGACCUGAAAGGGUGAUCGGCCACACUGGAACUGAGACACGGUCCAGACUCCUACGGGAGGCAGCAGUGGGGAAUCUUGCGCAAUGGGCGGAAGCCUGACGCAGCAACGCCGCGUGGAGGACGAAAUCCUUAGGGAUUUAAACUCCUUUUUUGAGGGAAGAAAUGCCUGUUUAUCAGGAGCUGACGGUACCUCAAGAAUAAGCACCGGCUAACUCCGUGCCAGCAGCCGCGGUAAUACGGAGGGUGCAAGCGUUGUCCGGAAUUACUAGGCGUAAAGCGUACGUAGGCGUUUUUGUAAGUCGGUUGUUAAAUACUUUCGCUCAACGGGAGGAGGUCAACCGAAACUGCGGAAAUUGAGAAUAGUAGAGGAGAGCGGAAUUCCUGGAGAAGCGGUGAAAUGCGUAGAUUUCAGGAAGAACGCCAAUGGUGAAGACAGCUCUCUGGGCUAUUUCUGACGCUCAAGUACGAAAGCCAGGGGAGCAAACGGGAUUAGAUACCCCGGUAGUCCUGGCCGUAAACGAUGGACACUAGGUGUCGGGUAACAACUCGGUACCGUAGCUAACGCGUUAAGUGUCCCGCCUGGGGAGUACGGCCGCAAGGCUGAAACUCAAAGGAAUUGACGGGGGCCCGCACAAGCGGUGGAGCACGUGGUUUAAUUCGAUCUAACCGAAGGACCUUACCUGGACUUGACAUGCUGAUCUGUACUUUGACUGAAAGGUCGAGGGACCCUUUUAACAGAGGGAAGUCAGCACAGGUGCUGCAUGGCUGUCGUCAGCUCGUGUCGUGAGAUGUUGGGUUAAGUCCCGCAACGAGCGCAACCCCUAUCCUUAGUUACCAGCGGGUAAUGCCGGGGACUCUAGGGAAACUGCCCAGAACAACUGGGAGGAAGGUGGGGACGACGUCAAGUCAUCAUGGCCCUUAUGUCCAGGGCUACACACGUGCUACAAUGGCCGGUACAAAAGGCAGCUAAUCCGCAAGGACAAGCAAAUCCCAAAAACCGGUCCCAGUUCGGAUGGCAGGCUGAAACUCGCCUGCAUGAAGUUGGAAUCGCUAGUAAUCGUGGGUCAGCUAAACCACGGUGAAUACGUUCCCGGGCCUUGUACACACCGCCCGUCACACCACGAAAGUUAGCUGUACCAGAAGUCGUUGAGCUAAUCCGCAA